rnacentral:tRNA from 1 species
CAGGGAGACAACAAAAUGUUUAAUAUUAUUAUUUUGUCACCUUAGGUCGAUCGGUAUCUCACGUUCUUAAUUAAUUAAGAAUUUCAUUUCCUAAGUUUUUCUAGGUCACACCCAUUAUUUUUCCUGGGCCAUUAGCUCAGGUGGUUAGAGCGCACCCCUGAUAAGGGUGAGGUCCCUGGUUCAAGUCCAGGAUGGCCCAUAUCUCUAUGUUGGGGGUAUAGCUCAGUUGGUAGAGCGCCUGCUUUGCAAGCAGGAUGUCAGCGGUUCGAGUCCGCUUACCUCCACUGAUUACCACCUCUUCCAUAAUCUGUAGAAAGGAAAAUUUUUGAGUUGUGAUCAUAAUUCUGAACGAAUCUAGCUUCCUAAUGAAAUCAUUAAGAUGCUGGACUCAUUGAAUUAAUUUCAUUGUUUUCAGAGAACCUUGACAACUGCAUAGAUUAUUUUUAAAGACAAUAAGCAUCUUUAUGAUGCAGAUUUAUUAUUUGUGCGAAUGCAUUAAUAACAAUUCUAUUAAGCUGAUGCUUCAAUUUUGAAGUUAUU